CUGUGUGUGUCUGCAGCAUACUAUAUAAAAUAAAGGAGUUUUCAGGGCUGCUGGCCAUACGGUGAUGAUUAAAUGAUAGUCUCUUUCUUUUUUAUGA
rnacentral:snoRNA from 10 species